rnacentral:rRNA from 1 species
CAUAAAACUAUUCUCAGUUCGGAUUGUAGGCUGCAACUCGCCUACAUGAAGCCGGAAUCGCUAGUAAUCGUGGAUCAGCAUGCCACGGUGAAUACGUUCCCGGGCCUUGUACACACCGCCCGUCACACCACGAGAGUUUGUAACACCCGAAGUCGGUAGGGUAACCUUUAUGGAGCCAUCCGCCGAAGGUGGGACAGAUAAUUGGGGUGAAGUCGUAACAAGGUAGCCGUAUCGGAAGGUGCGGCUGGAUCACCUCCUUUCUAAGGAA